rnacentral:misc_RNA from 1 species
GUCAGAUUCUUUUUGUCGUUGCGACAAUUCGCUAGAAUUUUACUAAAAGCUUGAACCUUGUCAAUGGGGGAUUCAACUUUCUUAACAAUUUCACCAGUAGAUAGAGAUUCUUGAAACAUCAACUCAUUGGCAUGAAUAUCUAGACCAUCUAUGCCCCCUGAUGAAAAGGAAGACCUAAUAAGGUCACCACACCAGCAAUAGGAGAGAACAUGAAUGUCUGCAUUCAGAUUUUCAUUUCUUAUUAUGCUCUGGAAAAAGUCGGUGCAACCAUCCUGGAGAAUCAAUUGCUGCCCAGCUCGUUUAAUGUCUUCAAGGUUCAGACCUUUCAGUACCCCAGAUUCAACUACCCUACUAUUCGCCCUUUUCUCAAAAUCAGAAAGUUGCUCAAUCGUUCUACAGAGUCUCCCAUAAUCACAUUUUUCCGCUUUUUCAGUAAGUAACAUCUUCUCUAUACAUUGCUCAUACUCUUCCGUGUACUGCUUAGAGAGAUCUCCCCAUGCAUUCUUUAAAUCAGCCAACGACAUCCUUGAAAUUUGAUUCUCUGGCUGAUUUUGAUCAGAUUUUGGUGCUGUUAUAAUUGCAAUUUCAGCCAAGAUGGCAGAAGAAUCAACAAUCGUGCAUGUCAAAUCAAAAUCAGAA